rnacentral:tRNA from 1 species
AGGGUGUUAGUUCAAUUGGAAGAACAACAGUUUGCUAAACUGAAAGUGCAGGUUCGAGUCCAGGCACACCCUU